CAAGUUGGCCCGUGCUCAGAAGAGGAAGGUGGAGAUGCUUGUCCAGGCCUUUGAGACUGUUCUGCCGCCUACCCUGGGCGAGAAGAAGUCCGACGACAAGAAAAGCUUUGCCUGCAACUGAUAGCUUUAGAGUUUGGGGUUCAAGCUGGAGCAGAUGUGAUGGUAAUUGGGGUUCUAACUUGGUGGUCACUGCAAUAUUUGCGCCAGAGACCUGCUCGGCGAGGGUAGAGAGCUGCUCACCAGCACCUGAGAUCUUGCUCACAUUGUCAGCUGUUCUUCAUAGUGUAGUGGCGUAGUGCAUGUGUACAUAGGUCUGCUGUGCUCAUGCUGAUAUUUUAGUGAUGACAAAAAUGAGACCUGCAAAAUAGCAAGAGUAUUCAGAUGUAUUCCUUGCUUGGACAAAGAUCAAUAAAACUCUUAUUGACAGCA